AUUCUCAAUCUCGAUGUAUAGGUGUAUGUCUGUAUACGUACAAACCAUUGCAUUGCUUGCACGGACGCAUCGCAGAGAGAAAGGAUAGAAAAAAAUCGACAAUCACGCGAUCCUUGUUCCUCUAGCGUCUAGUGUAUCGUUUUACGGCCGAGAUACGGGAUACCAUGAUGGAAAGAAAGUAAGGUGUGCUCAUAUUGAGGACGCGUUUUCGCAUCGUUGUGCGCAUUGUACCAGCCGCCUCCAUUUUUAAAUUCCUGUGUUUAUGUCGAAAGGCACGUAACCUUAAUUUUGGACGUCUGUACUGCAAUACCGGAUUAAUUAUACGAGUGUGUUGAUUUGGAAUUGAUAUUAAUAUGCCUUCAUGUGCAGUAAAAAAUUGCCAAAGUUACAAGGGGAAAAGGGACAGAAAAUCUUAAGUUUUUUAGAUUUCCUACAGAUCCAAUUAUAAGUGACCAGUGGAAAGUUAUUUGCAAAAAUGAAAAUAUUGAUGUAAAAAAUGAUAUGUUAAAUAAACAUUUAUUCUAUCUACUCGUAUCUGUUCGAUCCUCUUUGAUGCAAGUGUAUAUAAAGAAGCUUCAUGAUUUCGAUCUGUUCUGGGAGUAGGACAUACGCCCAAAAAACCAGAAAACUAAGAGCAGAUGCAAUUCCAACGGAAUAUCUAGAAUCAGUUGUGAAUAAAGUACCCGAUGAAACUAUAACGGCUCAGUCAAUUGGUGCAGAAGGACAAUCGAAUGUAGAACAUCAAAUUGCAGAAUUUUAAUGACUCUUCAUAUUCCCAAUCAUUUGAUACCGAUGCCAAAGAAAAAACUGUAAAACAGAGCAGAAAUGUACAAAGAAUGUGCCAAAGAUUAUUAGCCCGAAAUAAAUAUUUAGAAGGGGAACUUUUUAAGCAACGAAAACGCGUAAAAGUAAAUUCAGACAUAAGAGUACGAAAAAUUUUAAGUUCGAUAUUUACUUCCGGACAAAUUAAGUUGUUGUUAAAUCCGCAUAAGAAAAAAACUCAUUGGUCGUCAGAGGAUAUAGCUGCUGCAAUAUCCAUACGCACUGUAAGUCCUAAAGCUUACAGAUAUUUACAGAAAGCACGGAAUGUGCCACUCCCCGCAUUGUCGACACUUCGUAGAUGGGUUGUUACAUUCAAUGUUGACAAUGGUAUUUUGGAACAUGUUUUCCUUAUUAUGAAACAUAAAGGCCAAAACAUGAUUAACAUGGACAAAAUAACCACAUUAUAUUUUGAUGAAAUUCAUCUAUCCAACCAAGCAGCAAUUGAACGGAGACAGGAAAGAGUCAUAGGACCGCACGAAAAACGUCAAGUUGCUGUUUCCAGAGGUUUGUUCACCAAAUGGAAGCAACCUGUUUAUUAUGAAUGAAUUUGACCAAAACAUGACCAAACAUAUAUUAACAACUAUAAUUGCUAAAUUGCAUGAGAUUGGUUACACGGUUGUUGCGGUAACCUGUGAUUUAGGGCCAACAAAUCAAAGGUUACUCAAUGAACUGGGCAUUGAUAGUGUGGAAGGUAAAACGUACUUUCUACAUCCAUGCGAUGAAGAAAUAAAAAUAAACGUAUUUAUCGAUGUACCGCACCUAAUAAAAUUGUUAUGUAACAAUUUAUUUGACUCCGGAUUUUACAUAAAUGGUCAUUACAUAAGUAAAACCUACCUAGAAAGGCUAAUUCAAAUUAAUGGCAAUAAUCUAAAAAUUGUUCAUAAAUUGUCGCGAUUUCACCUAGACGUAAAGGGAACGCAGCGACAAAACGUCAAACUUGCCACACAGGUUUUUUCUAACACAAAUGCUACCGCUUUAGAAUGAUGUGGCGAGAAAGGAUUUAUAGAGGAUUGUUUGGAAUGGUCUGAAACCGCAAAAUUUAUUAGACUAUUUAACGACAGGUUUGAUUUAUUCAAUUCUUCGAGUAAAUUCGGCUCACAUUCUGGAAUGCAUGAGUAUGGCAUAAAUGAUGAGAAACAAAACGAACUUUUGGCUAAAGUUUCGUUACUUGUUAAAGAUAUGCGAGUUGGGAAAAGGAGCAAUUUACUUUCUUUUUAAAAAGGAAUUUUAAUAAGUAAUGAGUCAUUAAAAAAUUUAUAUAAUGAUAUGAAAAUGAUGUUCGAAAAUACUCAGUAUCCUGUGACAUACAUAAUGACUACUCGGCUCAAUCAGGAUGUAGUAGAGAAUCUAUUUGCGUACAUACGAGCAAUGAAAGCUUGUAAUGACAGACCGACAGCACUCGAUCUUAGAUACAGAUUCCGAUGGUACAUAUUAGGAAAGCAUCCGACAGACGUUUUUACUGAAGGAAGUAACACUGUGCAAAAUUUGAUAGAUAAUGAAACUUGCCUUACUAGUAUGUCUGAUGAAUUAUCUAAUAGCAAUGAAGAGAAUACAGAAAAUAAUAAUCAAUUGGAUUAUAAAACCAUUAAAGAAAUACAAUUUUGCAACAUUUCGGAGGAAUUCACUGAAGAAUAUCAGACAGAUAAGAAUAUUGAUUUGGAAGAAUUUGAAUACAAUAAUAUUGAUAACGUAAGCUACUUUAAUUAUUCGCCCGAUCCUGAAGAAUUCUAUCCUCCAGAGCAAUUUGAAGAUUUAUAAAUGCAUCCGAUGUUAUACAGAAGGAAGGUUUAAAAUAUAUUGCCAAUUACGCAGCAUCUAGGUUCCGAAAUAAAUACCCAUUUUUAGAAACUCCUACAAAACUACUAGCUAAUUCAGAUGAAGACUGGAUUUAUCAUAUUUCGAAAGGAGGAAUGAUUAGUCCUUCCAUUAAAUUGAUUAAAACGGCAGAAAUAAUGAAUUCAGAAUUUGAAAAAUUUCAUGAUUCAUUUAACAGUAAAAAAUCCGGAAUUUUUAAAAUAAUUGCUAAAAAAGUGAGAAAAAACAAACAGACUUUAAUGAUACCUGUAGAGGUACUAUUAUGCCUCAUUAGAACGCGAACUUACAUUCGUUUGCGAAAAAUUAAUAAAAGAAUAAAUACAGAAAAUUAUAAAAGAAAAUCUCA